GGGUUCUUGGGGUUUUGGGGAAAGCAUUUCUUCGUUGAGUUGUGGCCGGCAUGGAUCUCAUUGCCGGGCACAAAUUCUAGAAUGCGAGAAUGGCUCCAUGGCCUUGUGAUCACUGCCGAUUCGAUUGCGCCAAUCUUCAGUGCCCCACGAGGCCGAUAAUCGAUUCACAGCUCCAAAGGAUUCUAAUCGGCGAGAUUUCUCUCUUGUCACGAGCGCUGCGCUGGCUGCUGCCAAGGAAAAAAAAAUUUCUAUGAUGGUUCUCAGCCGUUACACGUAUGGAAGAUUGAUCUGGUGAGUUCUCGCUGUGGAGCUCUGUGGUUUUCACUCGGCUUUUCAUGCGAGGUCUCUUUCAGAGGAUUUAAUCGUAGCUCCUUGUGACUUGUUACGUUCAUCGAGCUCCAUUCGAAUCCAACAGCAGCGAGUGAUACUUUUCGAUCGGCCUGUGAUGACAUCUUAAUACUUGCUACUCUUGAUUGCUUAGAUGAUGACGCUUUGUUCACCAAGAUCUCUGAGGCCUUGUUUUGUGAUUCUUGUCCAUUUCUCUCCAGGUUUUUUUCGCAGCUCGAAGUGCAGAUGAUGAUUCAAUCGUCUAGAUAGGGACAGCUGAAAAUCUCUUUCGUGCUGAUCACUUAAAAAUGGGAAUCUCUCUGAUGCACUGUUGCUACUGUCUAGCUAUUGCCUGGUAUAUGUUGCCCAAUUAGCAAAUAUUGUUUUAAUUGUCAAUAGCUUUUUUAAAAAGUAAUUUUUUUUAUGAAUAUAGUGUUUUAUUCAUACUUUAA